rnacentral:rRNA from 1 species
UACGGGGGGAGCAAGCGUUGUUCGGAUUUACUGGGCGUAAAGGGCGCGUAGGCGGCCAGCGCAAGUCAGUUGUGAAAUCUCCGGGCUUAACUCGGAACGGUCAACUGAUACUGCGCGGCUAGAGUGCAGAAGGGGCAACUGGAAUUCCCGGUGUAGUGGUGAUAUGCGUAGAUAUCGGGAGGAACACCAGUGGCGAAGGCGGCUCUCUGGGCCUUUCCUGACGCUGAGACGCGAAAGCGUGGGGAGCGAACCGG